AUACACAGAUACAUAUGUUAUAUAGCUCUAUAUAUAUGCCAUGAUUUAUGUAUAGAUUUAUAUAUACUUUUUGCAUUUAACAUAUAUUGGAUUCCUCUCUUUAAUGUGAAAAGUGUUUUAAAAAUCUACACCUUCUAACUAAAUAUGUCACAGUCUACCUAGUGAGACCAGGGCAAUGAGUGAAGCCAUUCGAUUAAGGUUAUAAUUAUUUUUCAAUAAUAGAUUAAUAGCAGUAGUAGUUUUUUUUCUGUAUUUACAAAAAAACCUAUGCAUGCCGUUAAAAUAAAAUUAUAUAUUACAUUAUUUAUAGUCUCUUAAAAAGUCCAUUCUUAACUUUUCAGCAUUUUGUGCUGCUUACAACAUAGCCUAUACUGUACAAUAUAUAUUUUUAAUUAGAUUUUUCAUUCGUUUUUGUUUUUAAAUGAACAUAUGAUCUGUUAUUUGUUCUUUUUUGUUGUUGUUUAUACAGACGAGCCUCCAAGGCUGCAUAAAUGAGAAUGAUUGAGCUUUGCUGAGCAGAGGUUUUUUUAAUUUCGUUUUGUUUCAGGUCAACACCCUCACAUGCAGCAACUGGACCAUUGUCACCAGAUGACAGGUAAGGGAAAACCACUGACAUCACUAUAAGAAACUGAAAAUGUAGUCGCUCUGAUGUGUGGAGUUGCCCGGCUCACAAUAAGCUGCUGUGGGACCAGUGCUGAAUGGUUAUUUGGCAUUAGUGUAGUGGUGUACUGAUGAGAAACAAGGCUGACCAGGGGUCGAAUAACUGCACAUUUAAAACCAAGGCCCUCCGUAGAACAGUGGUGAGAAUGAACAAUAUUCUCAGUCUGGAUUUCAUUUCAUCAUAACCUCCACAAUUAACACUUUUAUUACUGCCUGAAAUCUCUGAAGCUUGGCUCUGUGUCAGAUAGCCCUACUCUUCUCUCUACAUGAGAGUUCAGUGUGGUGGGAGCGCUUCUGCUUUAGCUCCACCCCAGAUUACAAACAUUCUCUGGACCUAGUGAAGGCCCUUAUUGAUGACAUCAGAGUCACAUGAUACAUCUGUGUUGUAUCCUGAGAAUAAUGGGGAAAGUCAACAAGCAUCAGUCUGUCUGAAAGUGUUAAGGAGUAGAAGAUCACUCCACUUCUGAGACAUUCCAGAAACUUCCAGACACAAAUUGCACACACCAAAUAAUCAGACAAACAUCUUUGGCUUCUCCUUAAACAGCUGUGACUGCCUAACCAUCCCGCUGUCUCUCUCAAGUCCUGUCCUGUCCUUGGCUACAAUCAAACCAUUGCUGAAGAUGUGAUGGUUUCAUACAUGGAUAAAAAUGUCCGGCUGAUCCUAGAAGGACAAACCGGGACGAGACUAGACGUAGACAAGCUGCAAAACUCGAACGAAAUAUAGCAUGUAAAAAUCAAAUGAAAAUUUUUUUUUUUAAAUAAAUAAAACUGCCACUUUCUCAGAAACGGUUAUAGCUCAUCUCAUCUAACCCUGAUGAGGAUUAAAAAUGCCAACCAACUUGCUACUCCCCUAAUAAUGCCUAAACCAUUGCCCCCCCCCCUGGACCCACCUACCAUAUGUGCUGUAGGUGAGGUAAGCGAUAUUGCUGCAUACAAAUAAAAUAAGAAGCUUUAGGAAUUACAGUGUUGUUUUGUAUCAUUUUCCUCCCGUCUCCAUACACACACAUUGACAUUUAGUUUUCCCAUUCAUUAUCUCCUGAGCAGCAAAAAAGGGGAUGUCCCUUGUAUCCUUCCUCUCCAAUAAUGUGCCACAAUGCUAGUAUUGGUUUCAAUGUACGUAUGCCACUGAUUAGCCACAGGCAUUUUGCCCCAUCUGAAGCCAAUCCCAAAUUUUGUCUAUUUCAUAAUGUUAAGUAGAGGAGAAGACGCAAUUCAGCAUCUUAGGCCCAUAUUCGGUUUCUGGUUGUAAAUUUAGCCAGCGGACAGCCUAAAACAUUGUCAAGCCACUGUGGUGGUCUGUAUUAGUGUUUUGUGGACUAUGAUUACUCAUGCAAAAUUUCUGAUCAAAACAUGCCAUCAUGCAAGUCAUUUCUAUGCAUUGAACAAGCACAAUAAUUUAUUAUUCAUUUGGAGAUGUGUAUUGGGGGCCCCUGGUUAUUGCCCCCUGUCCUAUUGUGUGAAAGCCCAUGUAGAAAAAGCCUUUUGAUGCAGGUAUAACAAAGUUAUCAUGACACAGUUACUGAGGGUGACAUGGGCAAAUUGUUAAAUUCGUAUUUUUCCUCAUGUUUCUCCUAUUUUUGCCACUCAAAUAAUGUAAAGAUCAUGUAAAAUAUAUUCGACAGUAACAAACGCAAAGAGACCGUUGGAAUCAGCCAGACUCUUCGAUUUGUUUCCCACUCAUGUCUAUCCUGCUCACUCUCACAGCAACGUUGAGUUCUUACACAUAAAUGAAAUGAAACGGUGCAGACUCUUUCACCAUCCGCUGCUGAUCCAUUCAUGAAUAGCAGUGUUUGUUUUCUGCAUGGAAAGUUCACCGGCGCAG